UAGCGCGGUGGUCCCACCUGACCCCAUGCCGAACUCAGAAGUGAAACGCCGUAGCGCCGAUGGUAGUGUGGGGUCUCCCCAUGUGAGAGUAGGGA
rnacentral:rRNA from 7 species